rnacentral:rRNA from 1 species
GACGAACGCUGGCGGCGUGCUUAACACAUGCAAGUCGAGCGGAAAGGCCACUUCGGUGGUACUCGAGCGGCGAACGGGUGAGUAACACGUGAGUAAUCUGCCCCUGGCUUUGGGAUAGCCACCGGAAACGGUGAUUAAUACUGGAUACGACCACUUCUCGCAUGGGAUGGUGGUGGAAAGUUUUUUCGGCCAGGGAUGUGCUCGCGGCCUAUCAGCUUGAUGGUGAGGUAAUGGCUCACCAUGGCUUCGACGGGUAGCCGGCCUGAGAGGGUGACUGGUCACACUGGGACUGAGACACGGCCGAGACUCCUACGGGAGGCAGCAGUGGGGAAUAUUGGACAAUGGGCGGAAGCCUGAUCCAGCAACGCCGCGUGAGGGAUGACGGCCUUCGGGUUGUAAACCUCUUUCAGCAGGGACGAAGCGCAAGUGACGGUACCUGCAGAAGAAGCACCGGCCAACUACGUGCCAGCCGCCGCUGUAA